rnacentral:rRNA from 1 species
CCUACGGGUGGCUGCAGUGGGGAAUAUUGCACAAUGGGCGAAAGCCUGAUGCAGCAACGCCGCGUGAGCGAUGAAGGCCUUCGGGUCGUAAAGCCCUGUCCUCAAGGAAGAUAAUGACGGUACUUGUCGAGGAAGCCCCGGCUAACUACGUGCCAGCUGCCGCGGUUAUACGUAGGGGGCUAGUGUUAUCCGGAAUUAGUGGGCGUAAAGGGUGCGUAGGUGGUUUCUUAAGUCAGAGGUGAAAGGCUACGGCACAACCGUAGUAAGCCUUUGAAACUGGGAGACUUGAGUGCAGGAGAGGAGAGUGGAAUUCCUAGUGUAGCGGUGAAAUGCGUAGAUAUUAGGAGGAACACCAGUUGCGAAGGCGGCUCUCUGGACUGUAACUGACACUGAGGCACGAAAGCGUGGGGAGCGAACAGGAUUAGAUACCCCUGUAGUC